CACGUAGGGCGCAAGCGUUGUCCGGAAUUAUUGGGCGUAAAGAGCUCGUAGGCGGUCUGUUACGUCUGCUGUGAAAACCCGGGGCUUAACCCUGGGCUUGCAGUGGAUACGGGCAGACUAGAGGCAGGUAGGGGAGAAUGGAAUUCCCGGUGUAGCGGUGAAAUGCGCAGAUAUCGGGAGGAACACCGGUGGCGAAGGCAGGUCUCUGGGCCGAUACUGACGCUGAGGAGCGAAAGCGUGGGGAGCGAACAGG
rnacentral:rRNA from 1 species